rnacentral:sRNA from 1 species
CAGGAGACUACGCCUUGAGAAAGGCGCGC